CUGCUCCUAGUACGAGAGGACCGGAGUGGACGCAUCACUGGUGUUCGGGUUGUCAUGCCAAUGGCACUGCCCGGUAGCUAAAUGCGGAAGAGAUAAGUGCUGAAAGCAUCUAAGCACGAAACUUGCCCCGAGAUGAGUUCUCCCUGAGACUUAGAGCCUCCUGAAGGAACGUUGAAGACGACGACGUUGAUAGGCCGGGUGUGUAAGCGCAGCGAUGCGUUGAGCUAACCGGUACUAAUGAACCGUGAGGCUUAACCUUACAACGCCGAAG
rnacentral:rRNA from 2 species